CACGACGUACGGGCUCCAUCCAAGUUUCUACGAUGGUCGACCGCCUUCUGGGUUUCAUCCGAGCUCCUACGGGAGUCGGACUUCUUCCCCAAACUCCUACUGCAGGUAGACUUCGUCUGAGCUCCUACGGGAGUCGAACUUUAGCCCUGAGCUCCCACUGCAGGUAGACUUCGUCCGAGCUUCUACGGGAGUCAGACUUCAACCCUGAGCUCCCAUUGCAGGU
rnacentral:lncRNA from 1 species